rnacentral:lncRNA from 1 species
UGUCCUCCUGCUGGUUAGCGACUCCUCAUUGCCUGCUAGCCGGUUGCCAUAAGCAGCCCUCGGUGAACAGUUAAAUGGGACUCUCGCCAUGACACCCAAUGGAAGCUGUGCUCCUUCUAGGUCCACAGUGAAGGGCGCUGCAAAUACAAGUCUUUGAGUCCAAAGGCCAGAUGAUGUCCAAGGGCACAAAAAGAAGGGUGUCCCAGCUCCGAGACACAGAGAAGGGGGGGGGGGAGAGAGAGAGAGAGAGAGAGAGAGAGCGCCCGCGAGCACAUGCACAGUGACAACUCCCCCUUCCUCUGCCUUUGUGUUCCUUCUAGGUCUCAGCUGACCGGUCAGGGCCCAUCCUCACUGACAGGCACAUAUCUACCCCGUUCACUGACUCACACGCCAAUCUCUUCUAGAAACCUUCAGAGACACACCCAGAGAGAACGUUCUACCAACUGUCUGAAGGUCCCUUAGUCCAGUCAAGGUGACACUAGAAUUAUCCACGACAGUGUGUGUCUGAAUGUUGGAAGGGUUGGUUGCCACCUUUGGAGCCUGGGUAUUUUCCUAAGGACUCUAGCACACUGACAGUUCUCUUCCUGCUCUUCAGCCCCUAUCACCAGUGUACACCAAACAGGGGGGCACUAUGACAUUCUGAUGAGUGCCUUGAACAGCAAGUCUCAAAUAUUUUGGCCUCAGGACCCCUUUAUGAUCUUUAAAAUUUUGAGUACUCCAAAGAGCUUUCAUUUUCAUGAGUUGUAUCUGUUUAUAUUUUCUGGAAUAUAUAUUUAUGUGGAGUCAUUUUAAACCUGUUUGUGCAUUAAUUCACUAAAAAUAACAAACCAUCACGUGUUUACAUAGAAGACACAUCUUUAUGAAAAUAACUACCUUUUAUAAAACAAAAAAGUACACUAUUUAGCAUUUUUGUAAAUCUCUCCCAGACAGCUGGAAUCUCAUCUGUCUCCACAUUCCAUCUGUUGGGAUUUGCUAUUUUGGUUUAAGUUGUGAAGAAACUCCAACCUCACACAGAUAUAUAACUGAAAAAAUAGACAAGUAUUUUAAUAGAUUUCUCAGAUAAUUUUAGAUAUUUUCUGGGAUGCUAUAUUAGAACUCAGUGAGUGGUAUUUUCUUAAAUGUUUGUGCAGUGUGGAGUCUGAAAUCCUUCAUGCACUUUUUGUGAUCUGUCAUAUUAAACUCCUAUCUAUUUUGC